AUUGAACGCUGGCGGAAUGCUUUACACAUGCAAGUCGAACGAUGAUUUCUAGCUUGCUAGAAUGAUUAGUGGCGAACGGGUGAGUAAUGUAUCGGAACGUAUCCAAUAAUGGGGGAUAACUAAUCGAAAGGUUGGCUAAUACCGCAUACGCCCUACGGGGGAAAGCAGGGGAUCUUCGGACCUUGCGUUAAUGGAGCGGCCGAUAUCUGAUUAGCUAGUUGGUGAGGUAAAAGCUCACCAAGGCGACGAUCAGUAGCUGGUCUGAGAGGACGACCAGCCACACUGGAACUGAGACACGGUCCAGACUCCUACGGGAGGCUG
rnacentral:rRNA from 1 species